rnacentral:rRNA from 1 species
AACGAACGCUGGCGGCAUGCCUAAUACAUGCAAGUCGAACGAAACCUUCGGGUCUUGGGUCGCACGGGUGUGUAACGCGAGGGAACCUGCCCUUAGGUUCGGAAUAACUCCCCGAAAGGGAUGCUAAUACCGGAUAAGGUCUUCGGACCAAAGAUUUAUUGCCUUUGGUUGUGCCCGCGUUGGAUAAGAUGGUUGGGAGGGUAAUAGCUCACCAAGGGGACGAUCCAGAGCUGGGUAGAGAGGAUGGUCAGCCACCCUGGGACUGAGACACGGCCGGGACUCCUACGGAAGGGAGCAAUGGGGAAUGGUGCACAACGGGCGAAGGCAUGAUGGUGCAAGGCCGCGAGAGUGAUGAGGGCCUGAGGGUUGUAAAGCUCUUUUACCCGGGAACAUAAUGACGGUACCGGAACAGAAAGCUCCGGCUAACUACGUG